UACGGAGGGUGCAAGCGUUGUUCGGAAUUACUGGGCGUAAAGCGUACGUAGGCGGUCGAUCAGGUCCGAUGUGAAAUCCCAGGGCUUAACCCUGGACGUGCAUUGGAAACCGAUUGACUUGAGUACUGGAGGGGAUGGUGGAAUUCCCGGUGUAGAGGUGAAAUUCGUAGAUAUCGGGAGGAAGAUCAGAGGCGAAGGCGGCCAUCUGGACAGAUACUGACGCUGAGGUACGAAAGCGUGGGGAGCGAAC
rnacentral:rRNA from 1 species